rnacentral:rRNA from 1 species
GUGGAUUAGAUACCCUAGUAGUCCACGCCCUAAACGAUGCGAACUGGAUGUUGGGUGCAAUUUGGCACUCAGUAUCGAAGCUAACGCGUUAAGUUCGCCGCCUGGGGAGUACGGUCGCAAGACUGAAACUCAAAGGAAUUGACGGGGGCCCGCACAAGCGGUGGAGUAUGUGGUUUAAUUCGAUGCAACGCGAAGAACCUUACCUGGCCUUGACAUGUCCGGAACCUCUGAGAGAUCGGAGGGUGCCUUCGGGAACCGGAACACAGGUGCUGCACGGCCGUCGCCAGCU